UACGGGGGGGGCAAGCGUUGUUCGGAAUUACUGGGCGUAAAGGGCGCGUAGGCGGCCUUCUAAGUCGGACGUGAAAUCCCUCGGCUCAACCGAGGAACUGCGUCUGAUACUGGAAGGCUUGAAUCCGGGAGAGGGAUGUGGAAUUCCAGGUGUAGCGGUGAAAUGCGUAGAUAUCUGGAGGAACACCGGUGGCGAAGGCGGCGACCUGGUCCGUGACUGACGCUGAGGCGCGAAAGCGUGGGGAGCAAACAGG
rnacentral:rRNA from 1 species